GUCAACAGUGUCUGUUCAUGUGACCCGUGGACUUCCCUUUGUCAUCCUAUGCCUGAGAAUAUAUGAAGGGGGCUGGGAAGGCAAAGGGACGUUCAACUGUCAUC
ensembl:miRNA microRNA 204